CCGAACGAAAACAGUCGAGUGGAGACAGAAGAUCGAGAGGACUUUCACUGACUGAAGGAUAUGUCGGUGCCGAAGCAGAGAGAGCUCGUCACCCAGCAAGCUCUCUAUGACGCCGGCCUAAGUUCAGUUCUCCACUUAGGUACAGUUCGGUCUGUCGGUCGUCUUUUGACUUUUUCAUCUGUCUUUGGACUUGUGCUAAUCUUUCGUUGAAAUUACAGGCAUGCCGUCAAGAGUAAGACUAACAGAUGCCGACAUUCGGCAGCACACGGCGAGGAAGAGACUGACGCUCGGGGCCGGACCUUUGCGGUUACCCAAGAGGCCCCAGACAUCAUCCCCGACUGCCGUUGCGAUGGCGGCUACGCAGCCUGAC
rnacentral:lncRNA from 1 species